AACGAACGCUGGCGGCAGGCUUAACACAUGCAAGUCGAGCGCCCCGCAAGGGGAGCGGCAGACGGGUGAGUAACGCGUGGGAAUCUACCCAUCUCUACGGAAUAACGCAUGGGAACGUGUGCUAAUACCGUAUACGUCCUUCGGGAGAAAGAUUUAUCGGAGAUGGAUGAGCCCGCGUUGGAUUAGCUAGUUGGUGGGGUAAAGACCUACCAAGGCGACGAUCCAUAGCUGGUCUGAGAGGAUGAUCAGCCACACUGGGACUGAGACACGGCCCAGACUCCUACGGGAGGCAGCAGUGGGGAAUAUUGGACAAUGGGCGCAAGCCUGAUCCAGCCAUGCCGCGUGAGUGAUGAAGGCCCUAGGGUUGUAAAGCUCUUUCACCGGUGAAGAUAAUGACGGUAACCGGAGAAGAAGCCCCGGCUAACUUCGUGCCAGCCGCCGCCGAAAUAC
rnacentral:rRNA from 1 species